rnacentral:rRNA from 1 species
UUGUUGGUAAGGUAAAAGCUUACCAAGGCUUCGAUCAGUAGCUGGUCUGAGAGGACGACCAGCCACACUGGGACUGAGACACGGCCCAGACUCCUACGGGAGGCAGCAGUGGGGAAUUUUGGACAAUGGGGGCAACCCUGAUCCAGCCGUGCCGCGUGGGUGAAGAAGGCCUUCGGGUUGUAAAGCUCUUUCAGCCGGAACGAAACGGUUACGGUUAAUACCCGUGACUACUGACGGUACCGGAAGAAGAAGCACCGGCUAACUACGUGCCAGCAGCCGCGGUAAUACGUAGGGUGCGAGCGUUAAUCGGAAUUACUGGGCGUAAAGCGUGCGCAGGUGGUUUUGUAAGUCAGAUGUGAAAGCCCCGGGCUCAACCUGGGAACUGCGUUUAAAACUACAAGACUAGAGUGUGGCAGAGGGGGGUGGAAUUCCGCGUGUAGCAGUGAAAUGCGUAGAGAUGUGGAGGAACACCGAUGGCGAAGGCAGCCCCCUGGGUCAACACUGACGCUCAGGCACGAAAGCAUGGGGAGCAAACAGGAUUAGAUACCCUGGUAGUCCAUGCCCUAAACGAUGUCAACUAGUUGUCGGGCCUUUACGGGCUUGGUAACGUAGCUAACGCGUGAAGUUGACCGCCUGGGGAGUACGAUCGCAAGAUUAAAACUCAAAUGAAUUGACGGGGACCCGCACAAGCGGUGGAUUAUGUGGAUUAAUUCGAUGCAACGCGAAAAACCUUACCUACCCUUGACAUGUAUCGAAGCCCGCAGAAAAGCGGGGGUGCCCGAAAGGGAACGAUAACACAGGUGCUGCAUGGCUGUCGUCAGCUCGUGUCGUGAGAUGUUGGGUUAAGUCCCGCAACGAGCGCAACCCUUGUCAUUAAUUGCCAUCAUUUAGUUGGGCACUUUAAUGAGACUGCCGG